rnacentral:lncRNA from 1 species
GAGAGAGAGAGAGAGAGAGAGAGAGAAUGAGAGAAGAGAAGGCCGGAGAACGAGGUGUCCCCGUGGGUGAGCCAGUGGGCGAAUACGCAGUGAGAGAGAGCGCGCGAGCAGUGCGCCGUCUGGCGUGGCUGGCGACAGUCUACUGCCUUCCGAGAACCACGAGGGGCGAUUCUGUGUAUCGAACGCGCAUGGAGGGACGUCGACGGCGGAAGGUGGGAAAGGGGGAUCGGUGAGCGAUCCUGGUAGGGAGAGUCUGACGUAGUCAAUUGUUCAUCUAUCGCUUACCGGGAAGUGCUCGAGACGACUUCUUAAAUGCGUGCAGCUUCAACGACAAAUAGAUGCAGCUGGCAGCGUACUUAGCUAAACAAAACAAUCGGCGGCGGUCGGCGUGCGGCGUGCAACGGCGACGACGACGACGACGACGAUUCUCGCGCAUAUAGGUGCUGAUAUUUGCAGAUUCAAACAUCCCGACUUUCAAUAACUCUAAAGGAUAUAAACUUGACCUUCGACCCGUACAUUCAUCCACGGCAAGGUCGACGGAAGUCAUGAGGAAUUCUACUUCCUAUCUCUCUCUCCUUAAGAAGAUACGCAUUUUUUUGUGAAAUCUCUUUAAUAUAUUACAUAAUCUUUUAUUAGAAUCUCAAAUAUAUUACAUAAUCUCUUCGUUAAAUAAAAUUUUUUAUAGAUACA